rnacentral:rRNA from 1 species
UACGUAGGGGGCAAGCGUUGUCCGGAUUUAUUGGGCGUAAAGAGCGUGUAGGCGGCUAUACAGGUCCGCUGUGAAAACUCGAGGCUCAACCUCGAGACGUCGGUGGAAACCGUAUGGCUAGAGUCCGGAAGAGGAGAGUGGAAUUCCUGGUGUAGCGGUGAAAUGCGCAGAUAUCGGGAGGAACACCAAUGGCGAAGGCAGCUCGCUGGGACGGUACUGACACUCAACUACGAAAGCGUGGGGAGCAAACAGG